rnacentral:rRNA from 1 species
CCUACGGGAGGCAGCAGUGGGGAAUUUUGGACAAUGGGCGCAAGCCUGAUCCAGCUAUUCCGCGUGUGGGAAGACGGCCUUCGGGUUGUAAACCACUUUUGUAGAGAACGAAAAGUCUGUUGAUAAUACCGAUAGAUGAUGACGGUACUCUAAGAAUAAGCACCGGCUAACUACGUGCCAGCAGCCGCGGUAAUACGUAGGGUGCGAGCGUUAAUCGGAAUUACUGGGCGUAAAGGGUGUGCCGGCGGUUUUGCCAGAUGGAUGUGAAAGCCCCGGGCUUAACCUGGGAAAGCCAUACAUGACUGCAAGACUAGAGUGCGUCAGAGGGUGGUGGAAUUCCAAGUGUAGCAGUGAAAUGCGUAGAUAUUUGGAAGAACACCGAUGGCGAAGGCAGCCCCCUGGGACGCAACUGACGCUCAUACACGAAAGCGUGGGGAGCAAACAGGAUUAGAUACCCUGGUAGUC